AACGAACGCUGGCGGCAUGCCUAACACAUGCAAGUCGAACGAGACCUUCGGGUCUAGUGGCGCACGGGUGCGUAACGCGUGGGAACCUGCCCUUAGGUUCGGAAUAACUCCCCGAAAGGGGUGCUAAUACCGGAUAAUGUCUUCGGACCAAAGAUUUAUCGCCUUUGGAUGGGCCCGCGUUGGAUUAGCUAGUUGGUAGGGUAAAAGCCUACCAAGGCGACGAUCCAUAGCUGGUCUGAGAGGAUGAUCAGCCACACUGGGACUGAGACACGGCCCAGACUCCUACGGGAGGCAGCAGUGGGGAAUAUUGGACAAUGGGCGAAAGCCUGAUCCAGCAAUGCCGCGUGAGUGAUGAGGGCCUUAGGGUUGUAAAGCUCUUUUACCCGGGAUGAUAAUGACAGUACCGGGAGAAUAAGCUCCGGCUAACUCCGU
rnacentral:rRNA from 1 species